rnacentral:lncRNA from 1 species
GAGGCAUUUGUUUGGGAACUGCGGCCUUGUGUGGCUCAAGCUCCAGCCGAGGAACAGAUGGUGCAGCGAGAGGGUCUUGCAGCAACUAGACCAAGAAGAAGGACACGCAGAUGCCAUUUGCUAUCAUGAGGUCUGUUUCUGCCAGCAGAAGAGUGGAGCUUCACGCCGUGACUGACAAGAUGCCUUGGCCAGCAAAGGGCUUUUCUCAUAUUAGAAAGAUUGGAGAGAAUUGUUUCUAUGGAAGUGGUGAACAUGGGACAGAAGUACUUCUCUCUUGAUAAGACCAGC